rnacentral:rRNA from 1 species
AUUGAACGCUGGCGGCAUGCUUUACACAUGCAAGUCGAGCGGCAGCGCGGGGGCAACCCUGGCGGCGAGCGGCGAACGGGUGAGUAAUGCAUCGGAACGUAUCCUCGAGUGGGGGAUAACCCAGCGAAAGUUGGGCUAAUACCGCAUGAGCUCUGAGGAGGAAAGCGGGGGACCUGCGAGGGCCUCGCGCUGGAGGAGCGGCCGAUGUCCGAUUAGCUAGUUGGUGGGGUAAAGGCUUACCAAGGCGACGAUCGGUAGCUGGUCUGAGAGGAUGAUCAGCCACACUGGGACUGAGACACGGCCCAGACUCCUACGGGAGGCAGCAGUGGGGAAUUUUGGACAAUGGGGGCAACCCUGAUCCAGCCAUGCCGCGUGAGUGAAGAAGGCCUUCGGGUUGUAAAGCUCUUUCGGACGGAACGAAAUGGGCGGGACUAAUACUCCUGUCUGAUGACGUUACCGUAAGAAGAAGCACCGGCUAACUACGUG